GAUGAACGCUGGCGGCGUGCCUAAUACAUGCAAGUCGAGCGAACGGACGAGAAGCUUGCUUCUCUGAUGUUAGCGGCGGACGGGUGAGUAACACGUGGAUAACCUACCUAUAAGACUGGGAUAACUUCGGGAAACCGGAGCUAAUACCGGAUAAUAUUUUGAACCGCAUGGUUCAAAAGUGAAAGACGGUUUUGCUGUCACUUAUAGAUGGAUCCGCGUUGCAUUAGCUAGUUGGUAAGGUAACGGCUUACCAAGGCAACGAUGCAUAGCCGACCUGAGAGGGUGAUCGGCCACACUGGAACUGAGACACGGUCCAGACUCCUACGGGAGGCAGCAGUAGGGAAUCUUCCGCAAUGGGCGAAAGCCUGACGGAGCAACGCCGCGUGAGUGAUGAAGGUCUUCGGAUCGUAAAACUCUGUUAUUAGGGAAGAACAUAUGUGUAAGUAACUGUGCACAUCUUGACGGUACCUAAUCAGAAAGCCACGGCUAACUACGUG
rnacentral:rRNA from 1 species